rnacentral:rRNA from 1 species
AUAGUUUGAUCAUGGCUCGGACGAACGCUGGCGGCGUGCCUAAUACAUGCAAGUCGAACGAAUUGGUGCUUGCAUCAUUGAGUGGCGAACUGGUGAGUAACACGUGGGAAACCUGCCCAGAAUCGGGGGAUAACACCUGGAAACAGAUGCUAAUACCGCAUAACAACUUGACCGCAUGGUCCGAGUUGAAAGAUGUUCAUAUCACUUUUGGAUGGUCCCGCGGCGUAUUAGCUAGAUGGUGAGGUAACGGCUCACCAUGGCAAUGAUACGUAGCCGACCUGAGAGGGUAAUCGGCCACGUUGGGACUGAGACACGGCCCAAACUCCUACGGGAGGCAGCAGUAGGGAAUCUUCCACAAUGGACGAAAGUCUGAUGGAGCAACGCCUCGUGAGUGAAGAAGGGUUUCGGCUCGUAAAACUCUGUUGUUAAAGAAGAACAUAUCUGAGGUAAUUCAGGUAUUGACGGUAUUUAACCAGAAAGCCACGGCUAACUACGUGCCA